rnacentral:rRNA from 1 species
UGCCAGCCGCCGCGGUAAUACGGAGGGUCCAAGCGUUAAUCGGAAUUACUGGGCGUAAAGCGCGCGUAGGCGGUUUAGCAAGUUGUAUGUGAAAGCCCUGGGCUCAACCUAGGAACUGCAUCCAAAACUACUAAGCUAGAGUGCGAGAGAGGAGAGUAGAAUUUCUGGUGUAGCGGUGAAAUGCGUAGAUAUCAGAAGGAAUACCAAUGGCGAAGGCAAUUUUCUGGACUGAUAUUGACGCUGAGAUGCGAAGGCAUGGGUAGUAAACGGGAUUAGAUA